UGCAGUGACUUACAGCUCAGAGCACUGAGAGCCUCAACAGAGAACUGAACUGAUCUGAUUGAACAUGGACAGAUGCUUCAUACUGAUUCUCAUCGUGGGAACAGGUUUGGUGGCUGGAGACAGCAUUGAGCCAGAUAAAGGGACAGAAAAAAGUUCUAAAGAAACAGAAACUGUCAAGCUGAGCUGUUCAUAUAGUGCAAGUAGCGGUAUUGUUCGGCUUUACUGGUACAGACAGUAUCCCAACAGAGACCCUCAGUUCUUAUUAUACAAAUAUGCACCAUCAUCGAGUGAUUAUGAAGACACCUCUGAUGAUCGAUUUCAUUCAGCUACAACACAAUCCUCCACUGAACUCACUAUCACUGAUAUACGUCUGUCAGAUUCAGCUCUCUAUUAUUGUGCUCUAAGAGUCGGUGCCCAGUGAUACAAAACAUGAGACAUGUCAUACAAAAACCUGAAGCUCUUUUCACUUUAAAAUUAUCUACUGAAAACCACAGUCAGAACCACAAUUUAUACAGCUCUGAAUGUAAUAAAAUAUGUG